CUAAGUGAGAAACUAACCUCGAGAUGAGAUUUCCCAUUCGUCAGAAGUAAGACCCCUGAGAGACGAUCAGGUAGAUAGGCUAGAAGUGGAAGUGUAGUGAUGCAUGGAGCGGACUAGUACUAAUAGGUCGAGGACUUAACCAAG
rnacentral:rRNA from 1 species